GACGAACGCUGGCGGCGUGCUUAACACAUGCAAGUCGAACGGAAAGGCCCUGCUUUUGUGGGGUGCUCGAGUGGCGAACGGGUGAGUAACACGUGAGUAACCUGCCCUUGACUUUGGGAUAACUUCAGGAAACUGGGGCUAAUACCGGAUAGGAGCUCCUGCUGCAUGGUGGGGGUUGGAAAGUUUCGGCGGUUGGGGAUGGACUCGCGGCUUAUCAGCUUGUUGGUGGGGGAGUGGCUUACCAAGGCUUUGACGGGUAGCCGGCCUGAGAGGGUGACCGGCCACAUUGGGACUGAGAUACGGCCCAGACUCCUACGGGAGGCAGCAGUGGGGAAUAUUGCACAAUGGGAGGAAGCCUGAUGCAGCAACGCCGCGUGCGGGAUGACGGCCUUCGGGUUGUAAACCGCUUUCGCCUGUGACGAAGCGUGAGUGACGGUAAUGGGUAAAGAAGCACCGGCUAACUACGUG
rnacentral:rRNA from 1 species